GAGAUGGAUUUGUGCCUUCGGGAACCGUGAGACAGGUGCUGCAUGGCUGUCGUCAGCUCGUGUUGUGAAAUGUUGGGUUAAGUCCCGCAACGAGCGCAACCCUUAUCCUUUGUUGCCAGCGAUUAGGUCGGGAACUCAAAGGAGACUGCCAGUGAUAAACUGGAGGAAGGUGGGGAUGACGUCAAGUCAUCAUGGCCCUUACGACCAGGGCUACACACGUGCUACAAUGGCGCAUACAAAGAGAAGCGACCUCGCGAGAGCAAGCGGACCUCAUAAAGUGCGUCGUAGUCCGGAUUGGAGUCUGCAACUCGACUCCAUGAAGUCGGAAUCGCUAGUAAUCGUGGAUCAGAAUGCCACGGUGAAUACGUUCCCGGGCCUUGUACACACCGCCCGUCACACCAUGGGAGUGGGUUGCAAAAGAAGUAGGUAGCUUAACCUUCGGGAGGGCGCUUACCACUUUGUGAUUCAUGACUGGGGUGAAGUCGUAACAAGGUAACCGUAGGGGAACCUGCGGUUGGAUCACCUCCUUA
rnacentral:rRNA from 1 species